rnacentral:rRNA from 1 species
GUAGGUGGCAAGCGUUGUCCGGAAUUAUUGGGCGUAAAGCGCGCGCAGGCGGUUCUUUAAGUCUGAUGUGAAAGCCCACGGCUCAACCGUGGAGGGUCAUUGGAAACUGGAGAACUUGAGUACAGAAGAGGAAAGCGGAAUUCCACGUGUAGCGGUGAAAUGCGUAGAGAUGUGGAGGAACACCAGUGGCGAAGGCGGCUUUCUGGUCUGUAACUGACGCUGAGGCGCGAAAGCGUGGGGAGCAAACAGGAUUAGAUACCCUGGUAGUCCACGUCGUAAACGAUGAGUGCUAAGUGUUAGGGGGUUUCCGCCCCCCUUAGUGCUGCAGCUAACGCAUUAAGCACUCCGCCUGGGAGUACGGCCGCAAGGCUG